GGGAUAUAGCUCAGCUGGGAGAGCGCGGGCUUUGCAAGCCUGAGGUCAGGGGUUCGAUCCCCCUUAUCUCC
rnacentral:tRNA from 1 species